UAAGAAUAACAUGAUUGCAAUAACAUAAGGAACAUAAUUCAAAGACUAGGGAAAAAGGAAUGUCACAGAGAAAUGAGAGUAAGAAAAAGAUGGGCUGAUAACUUUAUAAGGAUGAUAUUGUUUGACAGCCCUAGUACUUGCUAAUAUUCUCUCAAUGUCAGAAGGGAGGAAGUCAAUAGCACUUUGCACUCUUAGUUGUGGAACUUACCAGCAUGUCAGCUAUAUAGAAUUUGUCAGUAGAUACAUUGUGAUCGCUACCAUUAAGGGGAACAUUCAAAUCAAUGAGAUCAUAAAUCCCUUUUACUAUUUCCCCCCAAAGGCUUUCAAAUAUUUAAUCUCAUUUUCCUCAAAUAGCACAGAAUACUUGUGAUAAACUUGUGGAAUUCAAUUUGUCCAUUAAUUAUGAACUUUUACUGUAACUGAUGUUAAAACAUAAAUCUUUCACUCGUGUUAGUUUUAAUCAAGCUAGACCAUAUCAACAUAGAUUUGCUGUUUUUAAAAUUCGUAAAACAGUAUCCAGAAAAAAAAAAAUGUUUUCAACAAAUUCUGCAGUAUAAGUCACUUACUAGUAGAUUUAAAAGCUAAUUUAAAGAGGGUUGGAUUAGAUAACCUUUCUAGUUUUAAAUCUACCAUGAUCACAUAUUCUAUUUAAAGUUACACAGCAGUAAACCUCUGAAGCCUCAAGAUGAAACUUGAAACUAUAAAACAAAAGUGAUCAUACUAGUAAGCUUUAUGACCAUUUUCAAGUCUGAACUGCUUCUCCACGUGAAGAUUUGGUUUCUUUUAAAUUAUACUAAGGAGGAAUGGUAGUAAAUGACAUUAUAGUAAAGCUCUCAAGCAGUUUAAAGCUUUUUUUUAAUGUUGAUUUAUGGAGAAAGGGAGGGGGAGGGGGAGGAAGAUUUCCAAAAGUGUCCACUAGCACACAAAAACUCAACAUAAGAGGAAGUUAAAAACUCUGGAAAUGUCUAACUCUCGGGGCAGGAUGGAGGGGCAUUAAAGUUAUUUCCUGAAGGACAACUAACUUCACAAUCCAGAGAGGCAGAUUCUUUUCCUGGGCAAAAAGUUCUAAUGCAUGAUACCAGAGCAUGACUGUUGAAGAAGAGGAGGAAAUGAACAUCCCAAACCCUUUCUAGAAAUUAAUUUACAAAUACAUCUGAAAUGGACAAAUAGCCCUUCUGUCCACCUCGGGCCAGCAGAAGAAAGUUUGCUCAGCUAGAUUGGGGGAUUUCUUCUGCAUUCCAAAAGGCCGGCUCAACAAUACCCUUAAGGAUAUCUGUUCCGAGAGGGUGGUACCGAGAGGGUGGUACCCGAAACCAUCUAUCUAUGUUAAUGCCCUGGUGGGAUUUCUCCUCUUAUCCUGUAAAACCCCCUAUCCUCUUGUUGUAAAAUGCGAACAUUAAAAUGUAACAAGCUCGAACAAAAAAUGUUUAUAAGGCUAUCUUUAGUUCUGUAAGGUACGGAAUUCAAUUAGAACUCCCUCC